rnacentral:rRNA from 1 species
GACGAACGCUGGCGGCGUACUUAACACAUGCAAGUCGAACGGAAAGGCCCUGCUUUUGUGGGGUGCUCGAGUGGCGAACGGGUGAGUAACACGUGAGUAACCUGCCCUUGACUUUGGGAUAACUUCAGGAAACUGGGGCUAAUACCGGAUAGGAGCUCCUGCUGCAUGGUGGGGGUUGGAAAGUUUCGGCGGUUGGGGAUGGACUCGCGGCUUAUCAGCUUGUUGGUGGGGUAGUGGCUUACCAAGGCUUUGACGGGUAGCCGGCCUGAGAGGGUGACCGGCGACAUUGGGACUGAGAUACGGCCCAGAAUCGUACGGGAGGCAGCAGUGGGGAAUAUUGCACAAUGGGCGGAAGCCUGAUGCAGCAACGCCGCGUGCGGGAUGACGGCCUUCGGGUUGUAAACCGCUUUCGCCUGUGACGAAGCGUGAGUGACGGUAAUGGGUAAAGAAGCACCGGCUAACUACGUG